rnacentral:lncRNA from 1 species
GUCACUAUAGUUUUCUCUGGUUAAGAUCAAUGGCUAAACAGUGUCUUCUGAAAACCAAACUUGAAUUAAUCAAACUUUCAGUAAAAAUUAGGUACAAAUAACAAAUGAAACAGUAAGAAAAGGUAUUAUCUUGUUAAUGUAUUGGUACAAAUACAAAUGAAACAUAGUAAGAAAAAGUGUUUCCCUGUUUUGCUGAGUUUGAGUUUCUUAAAAGAUAGUAGAUAAUACUUCACUUUUACAUAUUCAGAGCUAUGUAAGGCAGCAGUCUUUAGCUUAUAAAUAUUAUUCAGUGGCCCACACUCCCAAUUUCUGUUCUUGGCCUUUGCAGUUUACCUUAGUACCUACCUCUCUCAGUUACUGGCUUAUGGUUAGUAUUAGAUGAUUUUAAGACUCUUGGAUAAAAGAUAAGUACAUAUUGUUGAACCCUUAUACUGCUAUCAAGUCCUUCUCAUGCUGUUUAAUCAGAACAGUGUUGGUCUCCAGAAAGAGCCAAAGAAAGUGUUUACAAAGUAUUUUGGCUGUUGUAUUGACCUAGAUUAGAACAAUUGCUGUCUGUCAUUACUUGCUUGUUGCUGUGCUGCUAAGCAGUGUAACUGAAGGACUACCCAAGGUCUCUAUGCUUUCUAUCUCUUCUACCUUACUCAGUUUUUUUGAGAUGGUAGAGUGUUAUAAUCAAGUAAUUUGCUUCUCCUAGAGAUAAAGUAAAUGGUUUUAUAAUGAGUGUUCAGAGAAAAGUUAAAAGUUAGGAAGCAAGCAUUAUCCAGUGGUUUUAAAAACAUCUUUUGGCAGUAAUUUCAAAGGUAAUUGACAUACGUUAUUUACAUGAAUCUUGAGGUGCAAGAAUUUGGAUAUAAAUAUCUGUACUCACUUUGAAUUAUUAAUAUCAGCACUGAAUUUUAAGGGCCACUGAGGAUUUAAAUCCUAAUGCCCCUAAACAUACUUAGUGUGUGUCUUGUCCUAACCUUAAAAAUGGUUGUGUGGCUUCAAAGCUAUAUAUUUAGACUUUGAAAUAAUUUUCUCAAACUUAGACCAUUUCUGGAGAAGGCAA